rnacentral:rRNA from 1 species
GCUACCUACGGGACGCAGCAGUGAGGAAUAUUGGUCAAUGGGCGGGAGCCUGAACCAGCCAAGCCGCGUGAAGGAAGAAGGCGCCAGGCGUCGUAAACUUCUUUUGUCGGGGAACAAAGGGCGCCACGCGUGGCGUUGUGAGUGUACCCGAAGAAAAAGCAUCGGCUAACUCCGUGCCAGCAGCCGCGGUAAUACGGAGGAUGCGCGCGUUAUCCGGAUUUAUUGGGUUUAAAGGGUGCGUAGGCGGAUUGAUAAGUUAGAGGUGAACUGU